GCAAGUCGAACGCUGAAGCCUGGUGCUUGCACCGGGUGGAUGAGUGGCGAACGGGUGAGUAACACGUGAGUAACCUGCCCCUGACUUCGGGAUAAGCCCGGGAAACUGGGUCUAAUACCGGAUACGACUGCCGGACGCAUGUCUGGUGGUGGAAAGUUUUUUCGGUUGGGGAUGGGCUCGCGGCCUAUCAGUUUGUUGGUGAGGUAAUGGCUCACCAAGACGACGACGGGUAGCCGGCCUGAGAGGGCGACCGGCCACACUGGGACUGAGACACGGCCCAGACUCCUACGGGAGGCAGCAGUGGGGAAUAUUGCACAAUGGGGGAAACCCUGAUGCAGCGACGCAGCGUGCGGGAUGACGGCCUUCGGGUUGUAAACCGCUUUCAGCAGGGAAGAAGCGCAAGUGACGGUACCUGCAGAAGAAGUACCGGCUAACUACGUGCCAGCAGCCGCGGUAAUACGUAGGGUACGAGCGUUGUCCGGAAUUAUUGGGCGUAAAGAGCUCGUAGGUGGUUGGUCACGUCUGCUGUGGAAACGCAACGCUUAACGUUGCGCGUGCAGUGGGUACGGGCUGACUAGAGUGCAGUAGGGGAGUCUGGAAUUCCUGGUGUAGCGGUGAAAUGCGCAGAUAUCAGGAGGAACACCGGUGGCGAAGGCGGGACUCUGGGCUGUAACUGACACUGAGGAGCGAAAGCAUGGGGAGCGAACAGGAUUAGAUACCCUGGUAGUCCAUGCCGUAAACGUUGGGCACUAGGUGUGGGGGGCAUUCCACGUUCUCCGCGCCGUAGCUAACGCAUUAAGUGCCCCGCCUGGGGAGUACGGUCGCAAGGCUAAAACUCAAAGGAAUUGACGGGGGCCCGCACAAGCGGCGGAGCAUGCGGAUUAAUUCGAUGCAACGCGAAGAACCUUACCAAGGCUUGACAUACACCGGACCGUCCUGGAAACAGGUCCUCUUCUUUGAAGCUGGUGUACAGGUGGUGCAUGGUUGUCGUCAGCUCGUGUCGUGAGAUGUUGGGUUAAGUCCCGCAACGAGCGCAACCCUCGUUCUAUGUUGCCAGCACGUGAUGGUGGGAACUCAUAGGAGACUGCCGGGGUCAACUCGGAGGAAGGUGGGGAUGACGUCAAAUCAUCAUGCCCUUUAUGUCUUGGGCUUCACGCAUGCUACAAUGGCUGGUACAGAGAGAGGCGAACCCGUGAGGGCAAGCGAAUCCCUUAAAGCCAGUCUCAGUUCGGAUCGUAGUCUGCAAUUCGACUACGUGAAGUCGGAGUCGCUAGUAAUCGCAGAUCAGCAACGCUGCGGUGAAUACGUUCCCGGGCCUUGUACACACCGCCCGUCAAGUCACGAAAGUCGGUAACACCCGAAGCCGGUGGCCUAACCGUAAGGAGGGGGC
rnacentral:rRNA from 1 species